UUUUUAUUUUAUUUUGAGUAGUCAAGAUUCAAGAAAGGCGUCUUAUUGUUGUUGGCCCAUCCAGAUAGCAAUGAAGUAGAAUCGAAACCAUCUUCUGUUCCAAUCACAACCAAGAUUCUGAUAACUCAAACAUGCACAGAUCCGCAAGUGCUUCCAGAGUCUCCGAGGACUUGGUUGUGACCUCCUCAUCAACUUCACCGCCAUCUUCAACCUUCAAACCAACCACAGACGACUCUUCAGACCAGCAUCUACAUCUACCCACAUACGAUCCCCUCUCUCAUGUCGCAAAGAGGGAACGGCGUCGUAUCAGGUCCGCGGAGAACGCCAUUCACAUCAUACCUCUCCUGCUCGUCCUCUGCGCAAUCAUCCUCUGGUUCUUUUCCAAUCCAGUGAUUCACCUUUUUAAAGAAUGAAGAUUAUCAAGAUUGAGGGCAAUACUGAGUGUUGGCGGAGGAGCAGCUCUCCAUUAAACAAGAGUUGGAGGAAUUUAGUCUGAAUUAAUAAUGUAUGCAUCACUAGACCCACAAGACUAUUGGAGAAGAAAAACUAGCAGGCUCCCUCUUACUCGAGAAGUUCUUGUAAGCAAUUUAUAUGAAUGUGAGAUAAUGAAGACCUAGUUCCGUCUUAUUAGACACCUUGAUUGCACAUAUGCAUAGAAGCUUUGUUGAAAUUUAUAUCAUAAUAAAAAACAAGCUAUUCACUUGGUAUUCAUUUGGGAA